CCAGUUAAAAACCAUUUUUGAAAGAUACAAAUAAUCUUCUAAGAAAUUCAUUGAUUAAUUUAGCAACGCGUCGAUAAGAUACCAAAUUAUUCACAAAAGAUUCAGUUAAUAAUCGUGAAAAAUAAUUGAAUAUUUUAGCAACGCGCCCCAAAAUUUUCCGGCUGUCAGCAACCCGCGUGGCUGAAAUUGUUGACAAAAAAAUCAUCUCCCGGCAAAAUGUUACUUUGUUGGGCUGGUCCGGUAGGCAACGGCAAUGGUUCCGGUGGUGCAAGGGCGCAGGUAGUCGGGUGUUUCCAGAUCGAGGAACAGGCGGCCUAGGAUGAUGAGGCCCUUGGUUCCGAAACUGAAGUGCUGAAGCUAGAAGGGAAAGGCUACGUGAAAGCCUUAGAGCAUAUAUACAAUGUAAGAAAAGGACUGGAGAAUCAAUCCAUUGAUUGAAAAAUGCGACGUUCUUUUUUUCCGAAAAGACACGAGAACCAGCAUCAUUACUGGAAAACCACGGGGCAGCAGCGACAAGAAAGGUUCAGCAGUGCUUCUUCAACACGAAGUAGGAUGGAUCGGAAGUGCCACUGCAUUUGAUACGGAAAGUGUUGCAGAAUUGGGAGCAUCCGGAAGGUGUAUCAGUUAACAUCCGCAGGUUGCGGAAGGUUAGUAUUUUAAUGAUGAAUCUAUAUAUUAUAAACAUCGUAUGGAAUUAAAUAUAUUAGAAAAUUAAAUCUCGCUUUAUAUUUAUUACGAAAAAGUAAUUGGAAAUCAAGAAAAAUAAAUAAAAUCCCAGCAUGGGCAAUCUUUUCAUUGUUGGUUAACAAAAGGUUGUAUCGUCAUCUUUUUAUGAGCGGAUCAUAAGACAACGAUAACACGUAUGAUCAACCCGUUUAAGAAAGAGUAGAAAAAAGCAAAAAAAUUGAAUGGUUACUCUACUUAACGACCCGUUCGCUGUAUCGUACAGUGUGUCCAAACGAUUCCAUUUCAUGGAAAAA